rnacentral:rRNA from 1 species
GUGCCAGCAGCCGCGGUAAUACGUAGGGUACGAGCGUUGUCCGGAAUUAUUGGGCGUAAAGAGCUCGUAGGUGGUUGGUCACGUCUGCUGUGGAAACGCAACGCUUAACGUUGCGCGUGCAGUGGGUACGGGCUGACUAGAGUGCAGUAGGGGAGUCUGGAAUUCCUGGUGUAGCGGUGAAAUGCGCAGAUAUCAGGGAGGAACACCGGUGGCGAAGCGGGACUCUGGGCUGUAACUGACACUGAGGAGCGAAAGCAUGGGGAGCGAACAGGAUUAGAUACCCUGGUAGUCA